rnacentral:lncRNA from 1 species
UGGCAAACAGAGGCAGAGCCACAGAGGGGCUGCUCGUCCCCAAAUGUCUCUCCAGCCGCUCUGAAGCUGCUGCGGGCUGCUGUGCUGGUCCAUGGAGAAGGUGGAACACUGGACUAAAGAGACAGGCUGAGGAAGCCCUCAAGUCACCCCUGAUGGAGGCCAGACCUUGAAUGUUACAAUCCCUCUGCUUAUCGACCCUUAAUAAAAAUCUGAGCAGGUCUUCUCUGCAGGACACAGGAGGCUUUCUGGAAAAAAAAACAUGGAAAAAAAGUCCGGAAGUGCUCGACCAAGAGAUCGCGAGAUGGGAGCAGAGAGUACAGGAAAGGAAGGAGGAGAAAGAAAGGCUGGAAACCUUUGAAUGCACAAAAAAAACAGGUCAUGAAAGAUACCACGAGCCAACUAAAAUCUCUGGCUGAAAAUGUGCUGGACACCAUGCAGUUGGAAGAUUUCACUAGGGACCGCAGUGAUGAGGGGAACUUGGAAGCAGAGCUAAAGAGGAAAGCAGAAAAUGAAGAAACCACCCCCUUAAAAAUUAAGUAAAUUUUUUUAAAGUUAUGUGCAUACAUUCUGUAUAUACAGAAAAGAUAUCUAAAUUGUAUGCACGCAGAAGGAGCAUUGCCCCCACAAGGAACAGUUCAUGCUAAAUGGUGCAGAUGAAGAGACUUUGACAAAGGAAGUUUCCUGAGCUGUGGGCAGGGAUGAGAGCUCAGACAAAUGAUGGGAAGCCUCCCAGAUGCCAAGGUUUCCCACCCCCAGGUUUCAAGGGAGGAGAGAGGAAGUGAUGUCAUCUGAGCCCAGUGAGGCCCUGUCAAGGGACCAGGGAAAACUGCCCCCACUUUUUGCUCCCAUCCUCUCAUUGACUGCAGGUGCACAGGCAGCUGCCUGAAAGAGGGCCUGCGAAGUGCAAGCCAGAGGAGUUGGCCUCCAUGGCACAGAGCAGGCAGAAAACAAAUUUGGAGAAUGACCAGCACUCUUGGGUUUAUUUGACUGAAAGUGCUUGUUUUAUUGCAUUCACUCACAUCCAUUUAUUUAAUAAAUAUCCAUGGAGUGUC